rnacentral:misc_RNA from 1 species
GUAGAAUUAGCGGCAGAGGAUGAGAAAAACAGACGGGAGAGAGGGCAAAACUGGUCUAAGGUUGAUAACCAAGAUGAUGGAAAGGUUCGUGAUGAAUCUUUAAAUGCACAUCAUGUAGGAACCAAGAACCACACUUCGUGGGGGGCCAAAGCAGAGAGUAUAGUUGAAGAAGGGGAGAUGCUAGAUGAUGCUUCCCCAGCUUUGAAUAGCCGCAAGAGAAAAGCUGGAAGGUCCCCUGAUUGGCAUUCCGAAGGAAAUAAGUGGAACGAUUCUAUGUCUAAUAACCAUCACCAUGCUUUGGAAGAUGGAAGCCGCAAGAAUCGAUCUGUUUAUGCAGAUAGAGAGCUCAAAAGACAUGCUCAUGAGAAUCACUUAUAACUUAAUCUCAAGGGUCUAGUUCUGUUAUAUGUAGCAUAGCCAUGCGUGACCUGGGUGGUCCAAGUACUGGACAGAUCAUUGCAAUGAGGAGUAUACCAUCGCCAUUGAGCAAUGAAUCAUACAAUACUAGGAA